rnacentral:lncRNA from 1 species
UGCAUUAUUAAUUGUUUUCCCAGGGAGAGAAGGAAACUGGGGAUAGGGCUUAUUAUUAUUAAUAGCGAGGAGAUCACUCGCUCCUUUCGCGCACGACGAGGAGAGCGGUGGGAGGAGGCAGCGCCGGAGGGAGGCGGCGGCGGCGGCGGAGCGCACCCCGCUCCCGGGCUGGUUGCGCGGCCGCGGCAAGCACCCGCGGGGACCCGGCGCAGUCCUCGCCUCUCCCUCCCUGUGCCCCCACCCGCGCCCUGUUGCCCCAGCCUCCGGGCGGAAAGUUCCGCAGGCAGCGGCCAACAUCGUGCCUGCCCAGCGCAGCCCCACGACAUCUCCCCAGCUCCAGCCCCAGCUCCGCGCGGGCGGCGUGGCUCCGCGGGCGCCGAAGUUGCGGCAGGGCCGGGGGGCGGCCGCGACUGCCAGCCAUCAAGUGGCUCGUUAAGGAAAUGCAGUUCCUUCGGGGCCUGUGUGGACUAGGGGCACAACCCGGCGCCUGACUGGCAGGAGGGAAAGCGGAGACUCCUUCAGGUUUCCAAAGAGGUCCGAGCGGACUGCAUUAGUAAGUAAAUGCUCCGUGCUCGGUUUCUGACCCUGUGUUCAUGGCAUAUGCACACAAACGCAUGCACACAUAGACGUGUAAGUAUGUAUAUAUAUAUAUGUAUUUGUGUGCAUGGUUUAUGCUCUUAAAUCACACUGUUCUGGUCAGAGAGGAACUUGGUUGUUGUAACUUGAACUGUUUCCAGUGGAAAAAGUGCAUGAAGUGCUUUGAUUAUUUCUUAUGAGGAAAGAAAAUAAAAGAUGAAUGUUUCUGUCA